rnacentral:rRNA from 1 species
UACGUAGGGUCCGAGCGUUGUCCGGAAUUACUGGGCGUAAAGAGCUCGUAGGUGGUUUGUCGCGUUGUUCGUGAAAACUCACAGCUCAACUGUGGGCGUGCGGGCGAUACGGGCAGACUUGAGUACUGCAGGGGAGACUGGAAUUCCUGGUGUAGCGGUGGAAUGCGCAGAUAUCAGGAGGAACACCGAUGGCGAAGGCAGGUCUCUGGGCUGUAACUGACGCUGAGGAGCGAAAGCAUGGGGAGCGAACAGG